rnacentral:rRNA from 1 species
UACGGGGGGGGGCAAGCGUUGUUCGGAAUUACUGGGCGUAAAGGCUCGUAGGCGGCCAACUAAGUCAGACGUGAAAUCCCCAGGCUCAACCUGGGAACUGCGUCUGAUACUGGAUGGCUUGAAUUCGGGAGAGGGAUGCAGAAUUCCAGGUGUAGCGGUGAAAUGCGUAGAUAUCUGGAGGAACACCGGUGGCGAAGGCGGCCUCUCGCGGAUG